GAUACAGGGUGCUCUCUUUUGGUAAAAAAAAAAUUUUUUCAAGCUUUUCAGGCAAGAGCAGUGGCUCUUGAGCAGUCUUUGCAGGAAGUCAGUGAGCGAUACAAAAAUGAAAAGCAGAAGAGAAAAAUGCUUCACAACAAUUUGGUGGAGCUAAAAGGUAAUAUCCGAGUACACUGCAGGAUCCGGCCUUUACUGCCUUCUGACACUCCAUCUGACGACUCAACCUCAAGGGAAAGGAUCCAUUUGGAAGAGGUGGUACACGCUCCUGAUGAUGUGAG